GGCAAGAUGGCCGAGUGGUUAAGGCGGCAGGUUCAAGCUUUCGCUUCCUUGCUAAACGCAAGUUAAAAUUCUGCUGGAGCAAUCCGCCUGGGUUCGAGUCCCAGUCUUGUCA